CACGUAGGGCGCAAGCGUUGUCCGGAAUUAUUGGGCGUAAAGAGCUCGUAGGCGGUCUGUUGCGUCCGCUGUGAAAACUCGGGGCUUAACCCCGAGCCUGCAGUGGAUACGGGCAGACUAGAGGUAGGUAGGGGAGAAUGGAAUUCCCGGUGUAGAGGUGAAAUUCGUAGAUAUUCGCAAGAACACCAGUGGCGAAGGCGGCUCACUGGCCCGAUACUGACGCUGAGGCACGAAAGCGUGGGGAGCAAACAGG
rnacentral:rRNA from 1 species